rnacentral:rRNA from 1 species
CAGCAGCCGCGGGAAUACGAAGGGGGCUAGCGUUGUUCGGAAUUACUGGGCGUAAAGGGCGCGUAGGCGGCCAUUCAAGUUAGAUGUGAAAGCCCUGGGCUCAACCUAGGAAUUGCAUUUGAUACUGUUUGGCUUGAGUUCGGGAGAGGUGAGUGGAAUUCCCAGUGUAGAGGUGAAAGUCGUAGAUACUGGGAAGAACACCGGUGGCGAAGGCGGCGACCUGGUCCUUGACUGACGCUGAGGCGCGAAAGCGUGGGGAGCAAACAGGAUUAGAGACCCCUGUAGUCCCUGUCUCUUAUAC